GUGCCAGCAGCCGCGGUAAUACGUAGGCAGCAAGCGUUGUUCGGAAUUACUGGGCGUAAAGAGUGUGUAGGCGGUUCUCUAUGUUCGGUGUGAAAUCUCCCGGCUUAACUGGGAGGGUGCGCCGAAAACUGGAGGGCUUGAGUAUGGGAGAGGAAAGCGGAAUUCCUGGUGUAGCGGUGAAAUGCGUAGAUAUCAGGAGGAACACCUGCGGUGUAGACGGCUUUCUGGACCAUCACUGACGCUGAGACACGAAAGCGUGGGUAGCAAACAGGAUUAGAAACCCCCGUAGUCC
rnacentral:rRNA from 1 species